rnacentral:tRNA from 1 species
CGAUUAGCUCAGUUGGGAGAGCACCUGCCUUACAAGCAGGGGGUCACUGGUUCGAACCCGGUAUCG